UACGAAGGGGGCUAGCGUUGCUCGGAAUUACUGGGCGUAAAGCGCACGUAGGCGGCUUUCUAAGUCGGGGGUGAAAUCCUGGAGCUCAACUCCAGAACUGCCUUCGAUACUGGGUAUCUCGAGUCCGGAAGAGGUGAGUGGAAUUCCGAGUGUAGAGGUGAAAUUCGUAGAUAUUCGGAGGAACACCAGUGGCGAAGGCGGCUCACUGGUCCGGUACUGACGCUGAGGUGCGAAAGCGUGGGGAGCAAACAGG
rnacentral:rRNA from 1 species